AAAAUGGAGGGAGAUUUUUGUGUGAAAACCGCAGACAACAAAUCAAUUAUAUCCUGGCCGCCGGAAAUGUGGAAGCAAUUCCCCAGGAGAUAACCUCAUUUUAUAUAAUGAUUUCAAAAGAUUGGAACGAAACGUGUUUUUGUUUCCCCCUUUUCUUCCGAAUUCAAGAUAAUUGGCAAUGUUUUGGCUGGGUGAAAAUGAGGUCGGGAUUUCGAAGAAGACGUUUUGCCAGAAUCAAAAUGCUCGUGGAAUGUGAAACUCUUGCAUUAAAAAAACAACAAUGUUGGAAAGUGAUGUUUACACGGAUGAUGAAGCCCUUGGAUGAAGUGAAACGGAGUGGAAUAAAAUCGAAAGUUGAGCUAUUGCAACGAGCCGUGAAAUAACCAAACGUCACCGUCUCCUUUAUCGACGAUAUUCGACCACAAUGGCCGAGAUCGACGACGUGUGCAACACAUCACAUUUCUGCCAUAAGUUCUCGAAGCUUAACUUUAUAGCUGAUAAUAGAAAAAAAAAGGACUCCCAAAGCCCCUCGAGGACGUGAAGAAGAAACUGGAAAUGUGUCUAAAUGGCCGCUGGAGAAGAACUCGCUUCCCAAUAUUUAAAGUCGAAGAGGAGAGAGAGAGAGAAAGGAGCUGAAAGAGACUGGACAUCCAUCCCAAUAUCGUCUCCAGGGUCGUCCUAUUCCAAUGAUGAGGAGCGCAAGAUAAUAAACAAAAAAAACUACACAGACAUCAGUUUGACGACCGCGGCCUUCACAAAAUUCAAUUUCGGCAGAGCCCACCAGACGAAUAUAUUUUUUG